rnacentral:rRNA from 1 species
GUAGGUGGCAAGCGUUGUCCGGAAUUAUUGGGCGUAAAGCGCGCGCAGGCGGUUCUUUAAGUCCGACGUGAAAGCCCACGGCUCAACCGUGGAGGGUCAUUGGAAACUGGAGAACUUGAGUACAGAAGAGGAAAGCGGAAUUCCACGUGUAGCGGUGAAAUGCGUAGAGAUGUGGAGGUACACCAGUGGCGAAGGCGGCUUUCUGGUCUGUAACUGACGCUGAGGCGCGAAAGCGUGGGGAGCAAACAGGAUUAGAUACCCUGGUAGUCCACGCCGUAAACGAUGAGUGCUAAGUGUUAGGGGGUUUCCCGCCCCCCUUAGUGCUGCAGCUAACGCAUUAAGCACUCCGCCUGGGGAGUACGGCCGCAAGGCUG